rnacentral:rRNA from 1 species
CCUACGGGGGGCAGCAGUGGGGAAUAUUGGACAAUGGGGGCAACCCAGAUCCAGCCAUGCCGCGUGUGUGAAGAAGGCCCUCGGGUUGUAAAGCACUUUCAGUGAGGAAGAACGCCUGGUGGUUAAUACCCAUCAGGAAAGACAUCACUCACAGAAGAAGCACCGGCUAACUCCGUGCCAGCAGCCGCGGUAAUACGGAGGGUGCGAGCGUUAAUCGGAAUUACUGGGCGUAAAGCGCGCGUAGGUGGCUUGAUAAGCCGGUUGUGAAAGCCCCGGGCUCAACCUGGGAACGGCAUCCGGAACUGUCAAGCUAGAGUGCAGGAGAGGAAGGUAGAAUUCCCGGUGUAGCGGUGAAAUGCGUAGAGAUCGGGAGGAAUACCAGUGGCGAAGGCGGCCUUCUGGACUGACACUGACACUGAGGUGCGAAAGCGUGGGUAGCAAACAGGAUUAGAUACCCGAGUAAUC